UACGUAGGUGGCAAGCGUUAUCCGGAUUUACUGGGUGUAAAGGGCGUGUAGACGGGGACGCAAGUCAGAUGUGAAAACCACGGGCUCAGCCUGUGGCCUGCAUUUGAAACUGUGUUUCUUGAGUACUGGAGAGGCAGACGGAAUUCCUAGUGUAGCGGUGAAAUGCGUAGAUAUUAGGAGGAACACCAGUGGCGAAGGCGGUCUGCUGGACAGCAACUGACGCUGAGGCGCGAAAGCGUGGGGAGCAAACAGG
rnacentral:rRNA from 1 species